rnacentral:rRNA from 1 species
UACGUAGGGGGCAAGCGUUGUCCGGAUUUAUUGGGCGUAAAGCGCACGCAGGCGGUUCGUUAAGUUCGAUGUGAAAGCCCCGGGCUCAACCUGGGAACUGCAUUGGAACUGGACGAGCUUGAGUGUGGCAGAGGGGGGGGUGGAAUUCCGCGUGUAGCAGUGAAAUGCGUAGAGAUGCGGAGGAACACCGAUGGCGAAGGCAGCCCCUGGGCCAACACUGACGCUCAGGCACGAAAGCGUGGGGAGCAAACAGG